rnacentral:pre_miRNA from 1 species
GGCACUUGCCGAGGAGCGGGAGCCGGGUGGGUGCUGGCCCUGCUUCCGUGGGUUUCAGCUCUCGUUGGUGCUGGUGCUCGCGUGGGCCACGUCACCCUCCCUUCACCCUUGUAUCGUGCAGGUGA